GCCAGGUGCAGAAACGCACACCUGUAAUCCCAGCAACUCGGGAGGCUGAGGCAGGAGGAUCACAAGUUCAAAGUCAGUCUCAGUGAGAUCCUGUCUCUA
rnacentral:sRNA from 1 species